rnacentral:rRNA from 1 species
UACGUAGGGGGCAAGCGUUAACCGGAAUUACUGGGCGUAAAGCGCGCGCAGGCGGCCUCUUAAGUCGGAUGUGAAAGCCCACGGCUCAACCGUGGAGGGUCAUCGGAAACUGGGGGACUUGAGUGCAGAAGAGGAAAGUGGAAUUCCAUGUGUAGCGGUGAAAUGCGUAGAGAUCGGGAGGAACACCAGUGGCGAAGGCGACUUUCUGGCCUGUAACUGACGCUGAGGCGCGAAAGCGUGGGGAGCAAACAGG